UCCAGGAGCUCUGAAGUCUACACGAAUGGA
rnacentral:piRNA from 1 species